GUUCAGCUGGUUAGAAUG
rnacentral:misc_RNA from 1 species